CAUUUAUGCUAGGUAACUGUUGCUCAUGAACUAAUAAAAAAAAUCCACACAUGAAGCCAAAAUUUGUGCUUCUUUUUUGAAGAGUAUUUAUUUCUAUAUGAACUUUGCUAAAGAAUUCUACAGUUAAAUCAGAGUCCAAAAUUUGAUGGACUAAGUGUUAUUUUAAAGUAUAAUAUAAGACAGUUAUUCUAUAUAUAGUCUAAAGAGAUCUAAAAGCAUGUUUCUGUUUCCCAUUAAUAUAGCUGAAGUCAAAUGUGCUGUG
rnacentral:lncRNA from 1 species